rnacentral:rRNA from 1 species
GAUCAUGGCUCAGGAUGAACGCUAGCUACAGGCUUAACACAUGCAAGUCGAGGGGCAGCAUUUUAGUUUGCUUGCAAACUAAAGACGGCGACCGGCGCACGGGUGAGUAACACGUAUCCAACCUGCCGAUAACUCUGGGAUAGCCUUUCGAAAGAAAGAUUAAUACCGGAUGGCAUAGGAUUAUCGCAUGAUAAUCCUAUUAAAGAAUUUCGGUUAUCGAUGGGGAUGCGUUCCAUUAGG